CCUACGGGUGGCUGCAGUGAGGAAUAUUUGUCAAUGGACGAGAGUCUGAACCAGCCAAGUCGCGUGAAGGAUGACUGCCCUAUGGGUUGUAAACUUCUUUUAUAUGGGACUAAAAUGUUCCACGUGUGUGAUUUUGUAUGUACUUUAUGAAUAAGGAUCUGCUAACUCCGUGCCAGCCGCCGCGGUAAUACGGAGGAUCCGAGCGUUAUCCGGAUUUAUUGGGUUUAAAGGGAGCGUAGGUGGUUUGUUCAGUCAGUUGUGAAAGUUUGCGGCUCAACCGUAAAAUUGCAGUUGAAACUGGCAGUCUUGAGUACAGUAGAGGGAGGCGGAAUUCGUGGUGUAGCGGUGAAAUGCUUAGAUAUCACGAAGAACUCCGAUUGCGAAGGCAGCUCACUAGACUGCAACUGACACUGAGGCUCGAAAGUGUGGGUAUCAAACAGGAUUAGAUACCCCUGUAGUC
rnacentral:rRNA from 1 species